rnacentral:rRNA from 1 species
CCCUUAGAUGUUCUGGGCCGCACGCGCGCUACACUGAUGAAUUCAACGAGUUUUCCACCUUGACCGAGAGGUCCGGGAAAUCUUUUCAACUUUCAUCGUGCUGGGGAUAGAUUAUUGCAAUUGUUAAUCUUGAACGAGGAAUUCCUAGUAAGCGCGAGUCAUCAGCUCGCGUUGAUUACGUCCCUGCCCUUUGUACACACCACCCGUCGCACCUACCGAUUGAGUGAUCCGGUGAAUAAUUCGGACCGGUGAGCUUCCAGGUUUACCUGGCUGCUUGCUGGAAAGUCUAGUGAACCUUAUCACUUAGAGGAAGGAGAAGUCGUAACA